rnacentral:lncRNA from 1 species
CCACCCACUUUGCUUUACGAUAUUUUCCAGGCUUUUUUCUGUGUCCAUGUCUAUGAAACCCUGGUUUCUAUUUGGUAUAGGCAUGGAGCUUGAUCUCAUAUAUUCCCUUCCAUACUUCAUCAAUGGAGUUUCAUGUUAUAUAGAUGUCAAAAGAUGGUACUAGUUCAGUACAAAAUUACCAUGCUACACUGAUUAUCAAACAAAUAAUUUGUACCUGCUGAUUGCAACUAUCUGGUGAACCAUAUAUAGCAUUAAGAUGCUCUUCCUCUGUUUUCCUUUUUGAUCUCCAGAAAGCUUCAAUCUCUUCUUUAGUAAGUGACCGAUUUCUUUUAAGUAUAACUGAAAUAUUUUUCAU